rnacentral:rRNA from 1 species
CUCCAUGGCCAUUUCACCGCUGAUGUGCCCAUCGCAUCUGAUCUCAGAAGCUAAGCAGAGUUGAACCUGGUUAGGAUUUGGAUGAGACUGCCUAAAAAUACUGCGUGUUAUUAAGA